UGACAAAUCUCACGCUUCAUCUUAAGACUCUCUUCAAGGGAUAAAGUUUGUCACGAGUUAGUUAGAUGUUACAGACUUGCAACAACUUGUUGUGCGUUAUAUAUAUAAUUGCAUAUUUCUUGGAUAUCUGUAAGAAGGUUGUGAUUUCCCAGUCGUACAGCUG